CUACGGGAUGCUCCAGUGAGGAAUUUUGCGCAAUGGGGGAAACCCUGACGCAGCAACGCCGCGUGAGCGAAGAAGGCCUUCGGGUCGUAAAGCUCUGUCAAGUGGGAAAAAAAUUCUUUGAUGAACAGUCAAAGGACUUGAUGGUACCACUGGAGGAAGCACCGGCUAACUCCGUGCCAGCAGCCGCGGUAAUACGGAGGGUGCAAGCGUUGUUCGGAAUUACUGGGCGUAAAGAGCGUGUAGGCGGUUUGACAAGUCAGAUGUGAAAGCCCCGGGCUCAACCCGGGAAGUGCAUUUGAAACUGUUUCACUAGAGUAUGGGAGAGGAGAUUGGAAUUCCUGGUGUAGAGGUGAAAUUCGUAGAUAUCAGGAGGAACACCCGUGGCGAAGGCGAUUCUCUGGACCAAUACUGACGCUGAGACGCGAAAGCGUGGGGAGCAAACAGGAUUAGAUACCCCUGUAGUC
rnacentral:rRNA from 1 species